rnacentral:misc_RNA from 1 species
GAUGAAGAACGCAGCGAAAUGCGAUAAUUAAUGUGAAUUGCAGAAUUCAGUGAAUCAUCGAAUCUUUGAACGCACAUUGCGCCCGCCAGUAUUCUGGCGGGCAUGCCUGUUCGAGCGUCAUUUCAACCAUCAAGCCCCCGGCUUGUGUUGGGGACCUGCGGCUGCCGCAGGCCCUGAAAACCAGUGGCGGGCUCGCUGUCACACCGAGCGUAGUAGAUUUUCAUCUCGCUCAGGGCGUGCUGCGGGUUCCGGCCGUAAAAAGCCUUAUUUACCCAAGGUUGACCUCGGAUCAGGUAGGAAGACCCGCUGAACUUAAGCAUAUCAAUAAGCGGAGGA